AUGCCAUUGUCGACUUGCUUAGGUACAUAAUUGUUAUGUCUUGCAAUCUGGUAUUGAUGAUUGUCAAUUUAUUCAUUUAUACCUUUCUAGUGUACCUUGCAUGUGACCCAGCUAGUCUGUAUAUCAAUGCUCUGUUUCCAAUAGAUGUAUGCUGAUGCCUGAUGGCUGAUUCCUUAAAACUUCACUGUUGCAGUAGCAUUUUUCCUUAGUGCUUCAAACCUUGCUCUCUUUCCCAGGAACCAUCAUCGUCUGCGUCACUACUGGGGCAGGAGAGGAAAGACUGUUGUUGUCUCCAGGAACCGAUAAACUGCUUUACAAAGAUCCCCGCAUAGCUUCACUACUACUGUGUUGGUCCAUUUCCAGAAUUGUAAGGAUAAUGCUUUUGCUUAAGGAGAGGCUCAAGAAGAUCAGGGAGCUCCGCAUCCGAGUUUCAGCCAUCCUCUACAGCAAGGAGCUCCGGUCCAAAGGAGCAACCAACGCUGCUAGUUCCUUGAGGCCAGAUCGAGUAAGAUGGCGCACCAUGGCGUGUGGUGGCGUAUUUUGCUUCUGAGAACAAUACUGUUUAUUUGAAGUGAGAUGUACUAGUCUAUGUUGUAGUGAGCUGUAGUAGGAGUGAAAUGAAAAUGUAUCUGUUAUUGUAUGUACAUUUUACUUGAACAUUAAAUUCUCCAGAAAAAAUGUUCUUAUUGGACCUGAUAGUGGCCACG
rnacentral:rRNA from 1 species